AGUGAACGCUGGCGGUAGGCCUAACACAUGCAAGUCGAACGGCAGCACAGGAGAGCUUGCUCUCUGGGUGGUGAGUGGCGGACGGGUGAGGAAUACAUCGGAAUCUACUUUUUCGUGGGGGAUAACGUAGGGAAACUUACGCUAAUACCGCAUACGACCUACGGGUGAAAGCAGGGGAUCUUCGGACCUUGCGCGAUUGAAUGAGCGGAUGUCGGAUUAGCUAGUUGGCGGGGUAAAGGCCCACCAAGGCGACGAUCCGUAGCUGGUCUGAGAGGAUGAUCAGCCACACUGGAACUGAGACACGGUCCAGACUCCUACGGGAGGCAGCGGUGGGGAAUAUUGGACAAUGGGCGCAAGCCUGAUCCAGCCAUACCGCGUGGGUGAAGAAGGCCUUCGGGUUGUAAAGCCCUUUUGUUGGGAAAGAAAUCCAGCUGGUUAAUCCCCGGUUGGGAUGACGGUACCCAAAGAAUAAGCACCGGCUAACUUCGUGCCAGCCGCCGCGGUAA
rnacentral:rRNA from 1 species